rnacentral:sRNA from 1 species
GAUCAGGAAGCAGCCAUUCCCAGAGACGGACAGACAGACGGACGAAGGGAGAGGGAAAUCAGAGCCCUUUCCCAGACCUGGUAGGAACCACCCCUCACUUUGAACAGGGCCACAGGAGUCCAGCCCACUAGGCCCCUGGGGACAGGUGUCCUGCCCAACUGGAGAAUCUCCCCAAGGGCUGAGCUGGGAAACACCUGUCACUCAACCAGGAGAUUUACUGCAACUUCAAGUCCAGCUUGUUAGAAUGUAGAAGACUGUCUACUCCCCAGGUAUGGAGCCCAGGCCCCGAGGCAGGACGUCCUGGAAGGCUGGGGCUCUGCAAGUCCCCGUGUGCUUGCUGGCGCUUGUUCUGAGGUCGCUCUGAAGGCCCAGUGCUUUGCAUGCACCUUGGUCUCUAGCUGGAAAGAUGAGCCGGGAAGGCCUGGAUUUGCAGGCCUACACAAGACAGAGGACAAAGGAAGGCCCACCCUGCCUGCUUCCACUUACUUGGAACCUACUUCUUCAGGA